rnacentral:rRNA from 1 species
UUGACCUCGAAUCAGGUAGGACUACCCGCUGAACUUAAGCAUAUCAAUAAGCGGAGGAAAAGAAACCAACAGGGA